rnacentral:lncRNA from 1 species
GUGGAGUGGGAAAUCAGGGGUCUCACAGCCUUCGAAGCUGAAAGCCUCGAACAGAGAUUUACCCACAUAUUUAUUGACAGCAAGCCAGUGAUAAGCAUUGUUUCUAUAGAUUAUAGAUUAAAAGCACUUCUUACGGGAAAUAAAGGGAUGGGUCUGGCUAGUUAUCUGCAGCAGGAGCACGUCCUUAAGGCACAGAUCGCUCAUGCUAUUGUUUGUGGUUCAGGAACUCCUUUAAGCGGUUUUCCGCCCUGGGUGGGCCAGGUGUUCCUUGCCCUCAUUCCAGUGUGGGAGUCAUGGCCAUCAUGAGCAUGUCACAGUGCAGCAGAGAUUUUGUUUAUGGCCAGUUUUGCGGCCAGUUGAUGGCCAGAUUUGGGGGCCUCUUCCCAACAGCCCACAGCCAGACCUAGACUCCAUUCAGAUUGGUUUUGAUCAGCAUGUAGAAAAUGGGGGAGUUGAGUGUGGUAUACAAAAUGGGGGUGUUGGCCAGGCGUGAGCCACCGAGCCCGGCCACAAAAAUUGUAUCAUUGAGAAAAUUAUGCCAAUUGGGGAAGAUCUGAUGUAGCCAAACCCCCUUUGACCUUUAGCCUUCAAGCUGCCUUCAGUUAUUCUUGGGCUAGCUUUGGGAGAUGUUUAUAGUUUACAUGAUAAUAGCCCCUCCCCAAAACUCAACUGUAUUUGUAAAACUAAUGAGGGGCCACCAGGCUAGGGAGAGGAGAGGAGCCUGAAUUUGGCUAAGAUGUAGACAUAAACAAUUAUCAGCCAUUAUUCCAGAGGUCCUGCAGAUAACAAUGCUAUUGUAACCUAAGAUUGGCCUUUUGCAGUACCUCGCAAGGGUUUUUUGCAUGUCUGAUACCUACGGCUCCAACAGGACCCACUGACUGAUGAUGGCUCCACCUGGACCUGCCAACUACUCCUGCAGCCCCACCCAGAAGCGGUUCAGCACACGGGAGGAUCCUGUCUCACACCCUACGAUGGCCCCCCGCCCCCACAACCCAUCAGCAGCAAGCACCCACUGCCAAGCUACCCCACCCCUUCCCCCAAACUACCUUUGGAACACCCUAGUCCCCAAAUUCUUGGGGAGACUGAUUUCAGUAAUCAUCAAAUUCUGGUCUCCCAUUCACUUGUCUCUGUGUGAAUUAAACCCUUUCUCUAUUGCA